UCUGCCUUUUUCACUUCUUUCCACUUGUGAUUCACUUUGACUUCCCUCCUUUUGUGUGUUGCAAGUGAAGCAAAUAGAUUAGGUUCAGCAUCAGAAUUAGUGAAAUUCAUUUUUGAAUUUUUGAUAUAAUUAUUGGUGGUAACAAGGGACUUUCUGAUAAUGUAUGAUAUCUGGAAGUUUGGCUGCAUCUAGUUGGAAACUAUUUUCAUUUGACAACCCAAAUUGAGUUUAACAUAAUGUUCUUGUUUUAAGUUCAAACAAUGGAACAUGUACGAUGAAUUUUGUGAAAAUGGUUAUUAUAUUUCCAAGAAGUUUUGAUGAAUUUACAAUAAAUCAAAUUGCUAUCAGUUAAGCCACUUGAGUUUGGAACUUGAGGAAGAUGUUUCUCUCUAUCUCACUUGGGGGGAGGGAAAAUAAGGAAAUAUUCAUGAAAUGGGAAGAAAAUACUUCUAUUUUUGUGUGAUUUCUGCUAGGUAUGCAACAGAUAUUGGAGAAAAAGUUUCUGUAAAAGAUAUAUUUUCAAAACCAUAGCUUAAAUCAGGAUGCUAAUACAGAUGAGAUGACCGCCAAAACUGAAAUUGGCUGCUGGCAAUGAGAUCAUCUACAGUUGACAUUUUGCCUAAUAUCAUAAGUUCAACUUCCUUGCAGGGGCAACCAAAUCGGUCUAUG
rnacentral:misc_RNA from 1 species